rnacentral:rRNA from 1 species
UACGGGGGGAGCAAGCGUUGUUCGGAUUUACUGGGCGUAAAGGGCGCGUAGGCGGCGUGACUAGUCACUUGUGAAAUCUCCGGGCUUAACUCGGAACGGUCAAGUGAUACUGUCGUGCUAGAGUACAGAAGGGGCAACUGGAAUUCUCGGUGUAGCGGUGAAAUGCGUAGAUAUCAGGAGGAACACCUGUGGCGAAAGCGGCUCACUGGACCACAACUGACGCUGAGGCGCGAAAGCUAGGGGAGCAAACAGG